AAUCAACGCUGGCGGCGUGCCUCAGACAUGCAAGUCGAACGAUUAAAGCUCUCUUCGGAGAGUGCAUAAAGUGGCGCACGGGUGAGUAACACGUAAGUAAUCUACCUUCGAGUGGGGAAUAACAUCGGGAAACCGAUGCUAAUACCGCAUAAUGCAGCGGCAUCGCAAGAUGACAGUUGUUAAAGAUUUAUCGCUUGAAGAGGAGCUUGCGGCAGAUUAGCUAGUUGGUAAGGUAAUGGCUUACCAAGGCUACGAUCUGUAACCGGUCUAAGAGGACGGUCGGUCACACUGACACUGAAUAACGGGUCAGACUCCUACGGGAGGCAGCAGUCGGGAAUUUUGGGCAAUGGGCGAAAGCCUGACCCAGCAACGCCGCGUGAAGGAUGAAGUAUUUCGGCAUGUAAACUUCGAAAGAAUAGGAAGAA
rnacentral:rRNA from 1 species